rnacentral:rRNA from 1 species
CAGCCGCCACGGUAAUACGUAGGGUGCGAGCGUUAAUCGGAAUUACUGGGCGUAAAGCGUGCGCAGGCGGUUAUAUAAGACAGAUGUGAAAUCCCCUGGCUCAACCUGGGACCUGCAUUUGUGACUGUACAGCUAGAGUACGGUAGAGGGGGAUGGAAUUCCGCGUGUAGCAGUGAAAUGCGUAGAUAUGCGGAGGAACACCGAUGGCGAAGGCAGCCCCCUGGGAUAACACUGACGCUCAUGCACGAAAGCGUGGGGAGCAAACAGGAUUAGAUACCCGCGUAGUCCCUGUCUCUUAUAC